rnacentral:RNase_P_RNA from 1 species
UAGGGCACACAGACUGGUUAGGGCACUUGUUGUCUUAGGAAAGUCCACCCACCGUAAGUGCGACUCUUACGAGAACCCGAACAGGGCUGGAAACCAUAGAGAAAUAAAACCCCUCAAGGAAUGGGAUGAGGCAGCGAAGGGCUUGGCGACAGGCCUGAGUUAACCUACCGACUUUGUCCUUGAGAAAGGAUGGAACAUGGACCUCGCUGGUGCAAGUCAUUUUGGCGCUUAGUAGAAUCCAGUCACAAAACAUCGGUAUCCAACUGUGUUGUAUGCUUUGGUUUUGACAGAAGGUGGCUUAUGGGUGCUCUA